CGAUUUCUAAAGGAACAUCAGUCGUUAUGGAACACCCAUAGGACAUAAUAUAUCCAAAAGAAACCUCGUCUAGAAUGUGGGUCUUCAUGAACGACUUAACGUAGCAACAUGCCACGCAAGCCUCAUGACUAUCCACUCUAAAACCUGUGUGUACGCUCAAGCCUGGGUAGUGGGCUUAUCUCUCAUAGAACAUCCCACCUGUCUUCAUGAACGACUUAACGUAGCAACAUGCCACGCAAGCCUCAUGACUAUCCACUCUAAAACCUGUGUGUACGCUCAAGCCU
rnacentral:lncRNA from 1 species